GAGAGGUGACAGUUAGAAAUCAGUUGGUUAGUUGGAUGGCAGUUGGUCAGACGAUGAAGAGGGGAGAAGGUGAGCUGGAGGCUUGGAAUGAGAAGGGAUAUGAACAGGGGAGAUUUCUCUGGUGAAGAGAGAAGUGGGUCUUAGGUGGAGACAGGGAUUGAUCUGUUCUCUACUGGAAAGCCAAUGCUAUUCAGGGGGAGAAGUCCUCAGGAUGGAGGCUCAGGAGAAACUCUGUAACCAAGCAAGGCACCUACACCUCGGACUGGAAAAAGACCAUUAAUAUAUCUACCGCCCUUACAAAAUAGCUCAGUUCACAAACAUCAAAGACCUUUUCAAACAAUUUAAGAGCACUGGAAGGCUAGGUCAAACAGGAGCCCAGAGCAGCAUAUAUGUGUUGCAGGGUCCUGAAAUGUCCAGGGCAUCCAGAGUGGAGAAUUCUUUGGUGAUUUUUUUUCCUCAACAAGAAUAUAAAUGGCUUGAAUCAAAAUGUUGUUAAAUCUUAAGUUCUGUGAGAUUUUAAAUAUUAAAUACAGAAUGUAAAAUUUGAACUUAAAAAAAAUAAAAAUCAGAUAGUGGUA